UUGUUGGAAGAAGCGAUCUCGCGACAGAUGACAUAGAAGGGAUCGUGGCGGCGGAUUGAUGAUGGUUUUGACCCAAUCCUUCGACGACAGGAGGACCGUGAUAUUGAAAAUGGCGAGAUUGAUGAAUGUAAUUUUGAUUUAGAUGAGAAGAUGUUACAGAAGAAGAAGAAGUAGCCAUGGAAGAGGACGAGGAGGCUGAAGGAGCUUGGGAAUUAGAGUUUCGAAAUGGAAGUUUGAAUUUGCCCCAACGUCGACCAUCGGAAUCUGAUUUGUCCUC